rnacentral:misc_RNA from 1 species
AAAUCUCAACCUUCUUGGUUUCUUCUGGAUCCCAAAGGAGGCUUGGACUUUGGAGGCCUUUGCUGGCCCUCUCUCUCUUUUGAGAGAGCCAGCUCCUCUUAAAUGAAUUAGCGGGGUCCUCUUUGCCGAUCCUCGACAUGUGAUAAGAUGUUUCCAUGUCUUGGUUUCUGGCUCUGUCACCUUUGGGACCUGCUUCUAACCGUCUCGAGACAACGUUUGAGCGUGUCUCCCUUCUCGGGAAACCCUCUCGACCUCACGAAC